rnacentral:rRNA from 1 species
GACGAACGCUGGCGGCGUGCUUAACACAUGCAAGUCGAACGGUGAAGCGCCUUCCUUGUUGGUGGGUGUGGUUGCGUGGCGGACGGGUGCGUAACAGGUGAGUAACCUGCCCCCUUCUACUGGAUAACCGCAUGAGAGCGUGUAUAAUACGGGAUAUUCUGGGUCUGUGUCAUGAUGGGACUGGGAAAGAUAUUGGUUCGGUGGUGGAGGGGCUUGCGGCCGGUCAUCUUGUAGGUGGGGUGCAGGGCUAUCACGGCGGGGACGUGUAGCCGGGCUUGGAGGGUGGACGGUCACACUGGGACUGAGGCACGGUCGGGACUCCUACGCGAGGCAGCAUUGGGGAAGAUUGCACAGUGGGGGCAAUCGUGAUGCAGCGAGGCCGCGGGAGGGGUGGAGCCGUUCGGGGUGUGAACCUCUUUCGCUAGUGAAGCAGGUCUGCCUCGGUUGUGGGGGGGGUGACGGUAGCUGGUUAAGAAGCGCCGGCUAACUACGUG